UAUUUUUUUUUAUUAUUAAAGUUCUUUUCCCUUAGCUACAGUAUCUGACACAGAUAUUGUUCCUGGGUUAUUUUAACGCUACCAUGGUCACCGCUUGCGGCCUCUUUGAAAUAUCUUUCGUCAUUCCCGAACAAUCUCUAUUAUCCACAGAAUCCCACCGCCUCAUACCACCUCCUUUCUCUGGUAUAGUCUACGCUCAAGAAAUCUUGGGCGUCUCCUGCCCUCCAGCUACUCCAGCCUCUCUGAUUUUUACAAUCGUCGGCGCCUACAAGCCCUAAAAGAACACCACCGAUCGAUUUUGCUCCUGCCCUCCACCGUGGGGGAGAUUGAUGCAGUCGUAGAUAGCGACUCCAAAACCCAAAUCGUAUUCCCCGUUAUUCCCAGUCCUCACCGCCAGAUUAAGCGAGGGAAGCUACCGCUACAUGCUUUUCGAAGCAUACCCAAAAUUUCAACUGGCUUAUGCACAUCACGCGCCAAUCGAGCCAAAAUUUGGUGGAUAUGGGUCAUUUUACCCUCACAAAAGCAUAUUCCGAUUCUCCAUUUUCAUAUCAACACAUCUGAAACAGUUCAAAAUUUCAACAAAUCGUGUAUAUGGGAUUCUAUAUGAUCAUUAUAUUUAUUGAUAAACAUCGAUUAACUGUCAGCAGGUUGGAUAUGAAUUUUCGAAGAAAAUAUGUUCAGCCACACCAUCUGGGGUUUUGAUGUUAGAAGGGAAUGUAAUGUCCGAGAAUAUAGUGAUGACACGGUGGAAUGAAAUCUGGAUUUCCAAAUUCUGCUUCCAAACAUACCCUAAGAUUCUUAACUGAUACUUUUAUUCCUUACUUACUCUUUUUGCAAUUAAUCAUGACUGUUGUAGGUGCCAUUCUUCAACAUAGGGAUCAAUACAAUGGAUACAUUUUCACACGUUGGAGGCAAUUAUGCAGAAGGAAAUCCAGCUUAAUGAACUCCAACAUCAGGCAUAUUUUUCUUUGAAAUUUCAGCCAAUUUCGAGCUUAUCUAAAAUAGUUUUUCGUUUAUUAACCAAAAAAUGUGUUGAAAGGAAAUAUUCAAAGACUAAAAUCUUUUAUAUUAAACUUAUGGAUGUAUGAUGAUCACCAAUAGUAAAUGCUCCAGCAAUAAAUCUCUAAAUCAAUGCAAGAUGUUAUGUUUUAAAAAAAUAUGAAAGAAUUUUUGAAUU